AAACUUUUUCCUUCGAUUAUUUUAUUUUAUUCUUUUUUAGAUUGAUGAAGACAUUCUUCAGGAAGUUGUAAAGAUGGGAUUUGACAGGAAUCAGCUGGUGGAGUCUCUUGGUAACCGAAUUCAAAAUGAGUCUCGAGCUCAUCCUUGUGAAAUUAAGACUGAAGUUCUUAAAGCCCUACGAUAGCUCAAUGUGACUUGAAAGAGAAUUGGACACUACAAUAUGAAAUGUAGAUGGUUACCUGGAAUUUAGGGCCAUCAUGAAGGCAUGAUUAAUAACCAUGUGCAUAGUAAUCAUUACUUCGUGGAUGAAUUGACCAUCAAUAAAAAUGAUGGCGAUGUAAAAUUACCAAAUGUUAUUAAGUGUCAAACACAUGUAUCUUUCUUUCUAUUGGGCCAUUUGAAAGAAAUUUACCAA